rnacentral:rRNA from 1 species
CUGGCUCAGGAUGAACGCUGGCGGCGUGCUUAACACAUGCAAGUCGAACGCUGAAGCUCCCAGCUUGCUGGGGGUGGAUGAGUGGCGAACGGGUGAGUAUCACGUGAGUAACCUGCCCUUGACUCUGGGAUAAGCCCGGGAAACUGGGUCUAAUACUGGAUAGGACUGGCCAUCGCAUGGUGGUUGGUUGAAAGCUUUUGCGGUUUUGGAUGGACUCGCGGCCUAUCAGCUUGUUGGUGGGGUAAUGGCCUACCAAGGCUUUGACGGGUAGCCGGCCUGAGAGGGUGACCGGCCACACUGGGACUGAGACACGGCCCAGACUCCUACGGGAGGCAGCAGUGGGGGAUAUUGCACAAUGGGCGCAAGCCUGAUGCAGCGACGCCGCGUGAGGGAUGACGGCCUUCGGGUUGUAAACCUCUUUCAGUUGGGAAGAAGCCUUUCGGGGUGACGGUACCUUCAGAAGAAGCACCGGCUAACUACGUGCCAGCCGCCGC